GGAAGAUUAACCCUAAAGGUAAGGGAGCUGUUUGCUAAACAGCCAGUAACUGUGGAGACACGGUGUGCCAGUUCGAAUCUGGCAUCUUCCUCCA
rnacentral:tRNA from 2 species